UGGGCUGGGGCGGGGUGGAGCAGAGCCGGAAGCGGGAGGGGAGAGUGAAACAGGAAAAGAAGGGAAGAAGGCAGAAGAGGGAAGAGGAGGAGAGGGAGGAGGAGGAGGGAGGUGGCGGCGCCGUGGCGGAGGAGCAGGAGCAGGAGGGGGAUGGAGAGGAGAAGGCUCCUGGGUGGCAUGGCGCUCCUGCUCCUCCAGGCGCUGCCCAGCCCCCUGUCAGCCAGGGCUGAACCCCCGCAGAUACCUUUGAAAGCCAUACCUCUUUCCGGGCAGAGAACAUGCCUUAACCUCAACGUGAGGGGAUGAACAUCUAUACUGAACUUGAGAGCAGGAGGAGCUAAUCAAAUGCCCACAGGAGCCAGGCAG
rnacentral:lncRNA from 1 species